CUGCCCGGUGCUAAGCGUACACGGUGGAUGCCCUGGCAGUCAGAGGCGAUGAAGGACGUGCUAAUCUGCGAAAAGCGCCGGCGAGGUGAUAUGAACCCUUGACCCGGCGAUGUCCGAAUGGGGAAACCCAGUGUGUUCCGACACACUAUCGUUAACUGAAUACAUAGGUUAACGAGGCGAACCGGGGGAACUGAAACAUCUAAGUACCCCGAGGAAAAGAAAUCAACCGAGAUUCCCCCAGUAGCGGCGAGCGAACGGGGAGCAG
rnacentral:rRNA from 1 species